rnacentral:rRNA from 1 species
CGGGAAACUGGGGAUAAUACCCGAUGGUCCUCGGCUGCUGGAAUGCAUCUAGGACUACAGCUCCGGCGCCUAAGGAUGGGUCUGCGGCCUAUCAGGUAGUAGUGGGUGUAGCGUACCUACUAGCCUACGACGGGUACGGGUUGUGAGAGCAAGAGCCCGGAGAUGGAUUCUGAGACACGAAUCCAGGCCCUACGGGGUGCAGCAGGCGCGAAAACUUUACAAUGCUGGCAACAGCGAUAAGGGAACCUCGAGUGCCAGGUUUCAAAUCUGGCGGUCGUGAUGCCUAAAAAGCAUUGCAUAGCAAGGGCCGGGCAAGACCGGUGCCAGCCGCCGCGGUAAUA